rnacentral:rRNA from 1 species
AACGAACGCUGGCGGCAGGCCUAACACAUGCAAGUCGAACGAAGUCUUCGGACUUAGUGGCGCACGGGUGAGUAACACGUGGGAAUAUACCUUACGCUGGGGGAUAACAUCGGGAAACUGAUGCUAAUACCGCAUACGCCCUUCGGGGGAAAGAUUUAUCGGCGAAAGAUUAGCCCGCGUCCGAUUAGCUAGUUGGUGAGGUAAUGGCUCACCAAGGCUCCGAUCGGUAGCUGGUCUGAGAGGAUGACCAGCCACACUGGGACUGAGACACGGCCCAGACUCCUACGGGAGGCAGCAGUGGGGAAUAUUGGACAAUGGGCGCAAGCCUGAUCCAGCCAUGCCGCGUGAGUGAUGAAGGCCUUAGGGUUGUAAAGCUCUUUCACCCACGACGAUGAUGACGGUAGUGGGAGAAGAAGCCCCGGCUAACUUCGU